rnacentral:rRNA from 1 species
UCCGUAGGCGGGCAAUUAAGUCAGAGGUGAAAUCCCACAGCUCAACUGUGGAACUGCCUUUGAUACUGGUUGUCUUGAGUUAUAGUGAAGUAGAUAGAAUAUGUAGAGUAGCGGUGAAAUGCAUAGAUAUUACAUAGAAUACCGAUUGCGAAGGCAGUCUACUAACUGUAUACUGACGCUAAUGGACGAAAGCGUGGGGAGCGAACAGGAUUAGAUACCCUGGGUAGUCC